CUUUGUCAGCCUGGCUUCGUUUUCUCCUUGGCUGGCUUCUCUAGAGGGGGACCUGUUUGACCAGUGUUGGAGAAGCUGGGUCAGCGCCUUUCCCAGUACCGUGGAACCUCCCACACGGAGCCCAGACCUUCCAGACUGUUCCACUCCUGUGGAUCCCUGAGUGUCUUCUGUGUGUCAGGAGAGUUCCAAAUACUGUCCCCAUCUUCGCAACAGUCCUAAGUGACAGCUAUGGAGAUGCAGGGCAGAAACUGAGGCUGAGAGUCUCUGACUUGCUCCAAGUUCUAGAUGGGGGUCGCAGAGGCCUGACUGUGAAGUGUCCCCCACCAGGCGCCACUGCUGGACACAGCCCCUCCCGUGCCGGCUCGUCCCUCGGAGGUGUGUCCACAAGGGAGCUUGUGGGGCAUCGGACACGGAGUCACAGAGCUGGAAGAGACCUGGGAGGUUAUCCGGAGCAGUGAUUUUCAGACGAGUCUUCAGCAGAGGAAACUUUACCCAAGCAAAGUCUUACAGGGAUGCUGUAGCAGAAUAAUGCAGGUGUCACUUGGAUGCUGAGCAGAGAUAGUAUCAGGCCCGGCAGAGGCUUAGCUGCCCUGGUGGUGGCGGUGGCUGCGGAAGCUCAGGCUGAAGGAUGGCAACCGGCUUGUUCUGCGAUCAGUUCUCCGUCUGGAUGGCUCUGUGCAACGUUGAUUAUGUAGCGGGGUCUUCCGCAUCCAGUAACCAGUGUCGAAAAUUUCAGAAAGCGCAGAGAGGAAGCGGAUAAGGCAGGUUUGAAUAUCCACCACAGAGCAAACCCAGCGGCCUGAUAUAAAAAGGCAAGGAGGAAACCCUCAGAAAUGAGUACCAGACCUUCAACAGAAUGGGCUGAUACAUAGUCACACAAAAUGCUUACAGUGACGAGGGGUUCGACAUGGGAAAACACUUUUGAUCCAAGUCCAGUGAAAGAAAAGCAGGAAA
rnacentral:lncRNA from 1 species